AUUGAACACUGGCGGCAGGCCUAACACAUGUAAGUCGAACGGUAACAGGAAGCAGCUUGCUGCUUUGCUGACGAGUGGCGGACGGGUGAGUAAUGUCUGGGAAACUGCCUGAUGGAGGGGGAUAACUACUGGAAACGGUAGCUAAUACCGCAUAACGUCGCAAGACCAAAGAGGGGGACCUUAGGGCCUCUUGCCAUCGGAUGUGCCCAGAUGGGAUUAGCUAGUAGGUGGGGUAACGGCUCACCUAGGCGACGAUCCCUAGCUGGUCUGAGAGGAUGACCAGCCACACUGGAACUGAGACACGGUCCAGACUCCUACGGGAGGCAGCAGUGGGGAAUAUUGCACAAUGGGCGCAAGCCUGAUGCAGCCAUGCCGCGUGUAUGAAGAAGGCCUUCGGGUUGUAAAGUACUUUCAGCGGGGAGGAAGGGAGUAAAGUUAAUACCUUUGCUCAUUGACGUUACCCGCAGAAGAAGCACCGGCUAACUCCGUG
rnacentral:rRNA from 1 species